UACGUAGGGGGCAAGCGUUGUCCGGAUCUAUUGGGCGUAAAGAGCGUGUAGGCGGCCAGGUAGGUCUGCUGUGAAAACUCGAGGCUUAACCUCGAGCUGCCGGCGGAAACCAUCUGGCUAGAGUCCGGAAGAGGAGAAUGGAAUUCCCGGUGUAGCGGUGAAAUGCGCAGAUAUCGGGAAGAACACCCGUGGCGAAGGCGAAUCUCUGGACAGUUACUGACACUGAGGCACGAAGGCCAGGGGAGCAAACGGG
rnacentral:rRNA from 1 species